rnacentral:lncRNA from 1 species
AUUCUGAUACAGGGGACCAGGGUCCUAUAGAGACAUACAGCAUUCUGAUACAGGGGACCAGGGUCCUAUAGAGACAAGAGACAUACAACAUUCUGAUACAGGGGGACCAGGGUCCUAUAGAGACAUACAGCAUUCUGAUACAGGGGGACCAGGGUCCUAUAGAGACAGAGCAUACAGCAUUCUGAAUAGGGGACCAGGGUCCUAUAGAGACAUACAACAUUCUGAUACAG